GACGUACAGUAUUUCCAUACCGGAGAGGUCGGCAAAGAUUGCCCAAGAAUGUGAAGGUACUCCUACUUCCUCUGACAUUCCAUCAACAUGCUGGCGACCAUUCCAGGGUGUACUGCACGUCUCGUCCGAAGUCAUCUGGGAUUGGCACCUGUUCACCCACAAC